rnacentral:rRNA from 1 species
UACGGAGGGUGCGAGCGUUAAUCGGAAUUACUGGGCGUAAAGGGAGCGUAGGUGGCGGGGUUAGUCAGGUGUGAAAUCUCGGGGCUCAACCCCGAAACUGCACUUGAUACUGCCUUGCUAGAGUACUGGAGAAGGAGAUUGGAAUUUACGGUGUAGCAGUGAAAUGCGUAGAUAUCGUAAGGAAGACCAGUGGCGAAGGCGAAUCUCUGGACAGUUACUGACACUGAGGCCUCGAAGGCCAGGGGAGCAAACCGGGG